UUAAUAAGAUUGACCUUUCUGAAGAGGUAAUCACGAAGUUAGGAAACUUUAUCUCAUGGAGAGAGAAAGGUCUAAGGACAGAACUGCUUGGUAGGGAUCACCAACCCGGGGU
rnacentral:ncRNA from 24 species